ACUCCCUGCCCUGAGGUGUCUAGAUGGAUGGGCACCUUUCUGGGGUACCCAAGAUGCCCUCAUUAAGAGUAGGCUGGACUUGGGGAUUUCUGUGGCCCCAACUUCAACUUUCUUACCCCAUCUAGAUGAUUAAAAAGAAAGGAAAAAAAAAAUCUUCUCCUGGGAAUUUGAAAAGGAGUCUUCAUGAGAGGAGGGACCAGUUUUAUGUGAGGGUGAACGAAGGCUGCUUACCAUUGGCUGUGGGACCAAGAAGCCUGAAGGGAUUUAAGGUGGGGUGCGGGGGAUGACACGGUUGCACUGCAGACAGAUUGAAGCGGGGGAAUGGAGGCAGGAAGACCCACUAGGAAAGUGCUGGCAUAGCCCGGGAAGAGGUACCCCUGGGAGGCAGUGGUUAAAAGCCUGGAUGCCCAGUCAGACAGAUCCGUGAGGUGCUGACCUUGGAAAUAAUGUACUGUCUUCCAAGGGUUGUCACUGUGAGAAUGAAGUGACAGAGACAUGCACAACACUUCACACAGGGCCUGACACAAAGACUGUGCUCAGCCCAUGCAAGCUACCAGGCCCACUGAGGCGCCCCUGUCUCUCCCUCUGCUCAGUAAAGAUGUGCUGAGCAUCUGCCUGGUGCUAAGUGCUGUGACUAAGGAGGAAGAUGUCAUUCCUGCCCUCCGGCCUUUUUUGUUGCAGAUGAAUGAAGAGGUUGAACUCUCAGGAAAAGUUCAGUUUAAAGGCCUGGAGGACAAGGAAUAUGCAAUAUUCUUGUUGUUUUCUCCUCAGCAUCCAGCCUGGGGCCAAGAGAAUUUUGGGAACUGGAUUGGAUGCCAGCGGGAUGGUUAACAUGUCAAGCGGGGUCUUCUGUGACACCCGUGAUCCUUCUUAGUGUGAAUAGUGUAAAAAUUGGUGAUUUAUUAUACUGUGAAAUAAAGAAGAUGAAAUAAAAA